rnacentral:rRNA from 1 species
UACGUAGGGCGCAAGCGUUGUCCGGAAUCAUUGGGCGUAAAGAGCUCGUAGGCGGCUUGUCACGUCGGGUGUGAAAGCCCGGGGCUUAACCCCGGGUCUGCAUUCGAUACGGGCUGGCUAGAGUGUGGUAGGGGAGAUCGGAAUUCCUGGUGUAGCGGUGAAAUGCGCAGAUAUCAGGAGGAACACCGGUGGCGAAGGCGGAUCUCUGGGCCAUUACUGACGCUGAGGAGCGAAAGCGUGGGGAGCGAACAGG